rnacentral:rRNA from 1 species
UGCAAUGAGAGUUGUGCUAAGGUAGCGUGAUAAGUUGUCUUUUAAUUGGAGAAUGGUAUGAAUGGUUUGACGUGGAAAUACUGUCUUUAAAAAAUAAAAUGAAGUUUCCAUUUAAGUGAAAAGGCUUAUAUUUUUGUAAAAGACGAGAAGACCCUGUCGAGCUUAAUUAUAGUUUUUGUUUUAUAAAAACUGGAAAUUUUGUUGGGGCAACAUAGACCAAAAUAACGGUUUAAUGUUAAAUAAAGAUCCUUUGUUGAAAGAAAAAUAGCAAAAGCUACCGCAGGGAUAACAGCGUUAUCCUUUUUGAGAGAUCGAAUUGAGAAAAGGGUUUGCGACCUCGAUGUUGGAUUAUA